UGUUGAUUUAUCUAUUUUCCUUUCUUAUUAUUUUAAACAGACCCGGGAGGAACUGUAAAGAACCAGCCAGACAGCCCGCACGCCGAGCUGCCCACCAGGCCGAGCUGUACUUUGUGUAUGCCAACAUGCCGACAUGCUGUAAUUUCAAGCCUGGUUGCUGUAGCCACAGGGGAAUUUUCAAGGACAAGAACCAGUGCUGGUAAAAAUGUGGUCUCAUGUGGUUUUCCAUACCGGCAUUCAGCAAGGAUUUCAGAGAAAGGAAUACUGUCUCCAAAUCAUGAUGUGCCAAUAAGCUCCAGUUAGCUGUGCCUUUUUCCUCCCACCGGUAGUCCUUCAAUCUGAAUCCAGGAGAUGCAGCUCUGAAUCCAAUAUUUCAGGAAAAUGAAUAUGUAAGUCAA